rnacentral:rRNA from 1 species
GCAAGUGACCAAAUCACCCGGAACGAGCCCGAUCUCGUCCAGAUCUCGGAAGCGAGUCUGAGUAAAGCCUGGAUAGCGCUUGGAUGGAUGACCGCCAUGCAAAGCAGGUUGCUAGAGGCU